AGUCAGACUGGACAAAGACCGUCUUUAGUUUAAAGCCGAUCAAAGGCUCCUUCAGUUGGGUCGAAUAAAAACCAUCUUUGAUUUUAAAGCCAAUCUAAGGAUCCUUCAAUUCGGUUGAAUAAAGGCCAUCUUUGGUUUUAAAGUUGAUUAAAAGCUCCUUCAGCUUUUGGAGGCUAUGAGUUGACAAGUAGACAAGAAACCAUAAUUUUCAAAGAAUAAGGAUCUUAUUAAGGAGUGUUGUAUGAUACAUUACUGAUAUUACACUCAGAGAUUCUCCAAAUUUCAUGGCCCGAGGAGUGGAGUUGCAUCUAAUUACUUCAGUUGGUAAGUUCCUGACCUAAUGAUUUCAUCCAUCCGGUAUGGACCCUCUCAAUUUGGAGCUAGCUUGCCAUAUUCGUCAGGUUAAGAAACUUCUGCCCAAAGGCUA
rnacentral:lncRNA from 1 species